rnacentral:misc_RNA from 1 species
GGACUUUGUAGGACAGAGCACAUGGUAAUUAUUUCACUCAUCACCAGGCCCAGCAAAACAAUUAAAAAAAAUGAACAUCAGGGCCAUAUAUAUAUAUAUAUAAAAGGAAAAUUGUAUAAAUUGCAAAUUAUUGCGGUUUAUCAGAUUCUCUGCACAGGAUUGAUAAAAAGUCCCAUGGAAUUCAAUUUUUCAUUGUGUUCUAAACAGAGUUUUAAAUGAGUCUUCAGUCACCGAUAUAACUUAUGCAUCUUUCCUUGACUAAAACAAUAAGAAGCUUCAAUACUGUAUUUCACUUACCAUGUCAUUUUUUUCUGGUACAGUAAGGUUUAAUAUUUAUGAGUUUUUAAAUCUCUGUGGUGGAAUGCUCUAGUUCUUUGCUUCAGAUGAGAGGAU